GAAUAUUGCACAAUGGGCGAAAGCCUGAUGCAGCCAUGCCGCGUGGGUGAAGAAGGCCUUAGGGUUGUAAACCCCUUUCAGCGGGGAAGAUAAUGACGGUACCCGCAGAAGAAGUCCCGGCUAACUCCGUGCCAGCAGCCGCGGUAAUACGGAGGGGACUAGCGUUGUUCGGAAUUACUGGGCGUAAAGCGCGCGUAGGCGGAUUUGCAAGUCGGGGGUGAAAUCCCGAGGCUCAACCUCGGAACUGCCUUCGAUACUGCAAAUCUCGAGUCCGGAAGAGGUGAGUGGAAUUCCUAGUGUAGAGGUGAAAUUCGUAGAUAUUAGGAAGAACACCAGUGGCGAAGGCGGCUCACUGGUCCGGUACUGACGCUGAGGCGCGAAAGCCAGGGGAGCAAAC
rnacentral:rRNA from 1 species